rnacentral:rRNA from 1 species
UCGAGCGCUUUUACCCCUGCCAUGGGUGCGAUCAUACCGAAUCCCGUCAGAGCUCCGCAGUUAAGUGUGCUCGGGCUAGAGUAGUACCGGGAUGGGUGACCUCCCGGGAAGUCCUAGUGUUGCACCGU